rnacentral:rRNA from 1 species
CCUACGGGCGGCAGCAGUGAGGAAUAUUGGUCAAUGGACGAGAGUCUGAACCAGCCAAGUAGCGUGAAGGAUGACUGCCCUAUGGGUUGUAAACUUCUUUUAUAUGGGAAUAAAAUGUUCCACGUGUGGGAUUUUGUAUGUACCAUAUGAAUAAGGAUCGGCUAACUCCGUACCAGCAGCCGCGGUAAUACGGAGGAUCCGAGCGUUAUCCGGAUUUAUUGGGUUUAAAGGGAGCGUAGGUGGAUUGUUAAGUCAGUUGUGAAAGUUUGCGGCUCAACCGUAAAAUUGCAGUUGAAACUGGCAGUCUUGAGGACAGUAGAGGUGGGCGGAAUUCGUGGUGUAGCGGUGAAAUGCUUAGAUAUCACGAAGAACUCCGAUUGCGAAGGCAGCUCACUGGACUGCAACUGACACUGAGGCUCGAAAGUGUGGGUAUCGAACAGGAUUAGAUACCCCUGUAGUC